rnacentral:lncRNA from 1 species
UCCAUUUUCGAUCUCGAGCGCAGACUGCAGGCGCCCCGCCUGUGCGCCGCUGUCACCGUCAGUAGCCGCGCCGCGCGGGAGCCGACGCGGUUCUUGCUGCCGCCGCUCACCGUGUGGGUGCGCUCACCGCGUUGCCCGGUUCUUGCUGGGUUUGAGCCUCCAUCUUCGCGUGCGCUGCCACCUCGGCUUCACCAGCUGAUUCAGCAAACACGUGCGCUGCCCGGGGCUUCCUCCGCCGCUGCUUCGGCGCCGCCGCAGCGUCCCCCUCGGUGCCCUCCGCCGCGUCCGGCGCCUUUUCUUUCCGCCGGCUUGUUGCCACCCGACUCCUUGUUCCGAGCUCAGAAGCAAGCCGACAGAAGCUGAGGAGCGGAGCAGGAGCUGAGCCGGAGCUGAGGAGCUGAGCAAGAGCGGAGCAGAAGCAAGCCGGCAGCCCAACGCUUCUGGCAAGUCGUCACCACGACUCAAGGUCUUGUGGAUUGAAUGUGAUCUGAAUGUUUGUUUCAGAGUGACUGAAGGUUGUUUCUGAAUUGAGAUUCUGGUCAUGUGGACUGAAUGCGAUUUGAAUGACUGAAUGUGAUCUGAAUUUUUGUUUCAGAGUAACUGAAGAUUGUUACUGAAUUGAGAUAGCAGAUGUAGACUUGUUGUGUCAAUUUGAUCAUGUCAAGAUUCUAAUUGGCUCGAUUUACUGAUGUUAAUUUAAUAUAGCAAAAGAGAUUACGACUUGCAGUCUCUAAAAUAGUUCACCUUGCCUACAUCUCUUGUGGUUCUUUGCAGUAAUAUGUCUUGUGGUUAAACAAAAACAGAAUUCUCCAUGCUGAACCUUGAACACAGAAUUGCAGUAUCUAAAAUAGUACUUACAUCGUUUUACUCCAUGCGCUUGCUUGCUUCUGAUAAUUCCUUCAGUAUAUAUUUGUCCAUCAUCUAGUAGUAGA